rnacentral:rRNA from 1 species
UACGGGGGGGGCAAGCGUUGUUCGGAAUUACUGGGCGUAAAGGGCUCGUAGGCGGCCAACUAAGUCGGACGUGAAAUCCCCAGGCUCAACCUGGGAACUGCGUCCGAUACUGGAUGGCUUGAAUCCGGGAGAGGGAUGCAGAAUUCCAGGUGUAGCGGUGAAAUGCGCAGAUAUCGGGAGGAACACCAGUAGCGAAGGCGGCUCGCUGGGCCACACCUGACGCUGAGACGCGAAAGCUAGGGGAGCGAACAGG